rnacentral:hammerhead_ribozyme from 1 species
AUCCAGCUGAAGAGUCCCGAAUAGGACGAACGUGCGCCCUGGAU